AAAAUAAGUCUUGUUAAACCUCCAAACUUAUGUGGUUAACAUUAUUAUAAAAUAAAGAUUUAUUUUUGUCGAUGCAUUUCAUUCAUACAUGUUUUAUUGACAUUUUAAUUGAUAUUUACGAGUGCCAAAGAGAUUUAAUAGUUAAAAUUAUGAUACCAAAUCUAAAUGGCGUAAUUACUAUAAUCGUUUAACAUUUUAUGAUGUAGUUAAAUAUGUUUUAUAUUUGGGGUUUAUUUUUUACCCAGUUCACCAACUUCGUUAUAACAAAGAUGUCCGAACACGAGAUUUAAUUUGCUUUUUAUUAUUAAUUGAGGAACAUUAUUAGUAACAAUUUAAGUAACGUGUGAAAACAAAUUUUGUUUCUAGAAUAGUACAUUACACUGGUUAACAAUUUUUUUUUUUUUUUGCAUAGACUUUGACAACGGAUUCUUUUAGAAUUUGGGUUGCUCAUUCCAAAUAUAUGCUUAGAUUCUCCUCACCACAUCAAUUUUUGAUCUACCUGAUAUUUAAUAUUUUACAUGUUUACUUUAAAAGGCUAUAAUAAUACCACGUGUUCCUGUUAUGUAUGUAUGUCUUUCUCUCUCUGAGUAUAAGUAAGUUAAUCCAGUCGAUACCACUUAAAAUCUCAUUAGAUUUAUAAUUUUAAACAUAGCUGUUUACAAAAUCCGAACACAUCUUGAAACAAUAUAAAGCUAACCAUUUCUACAUCCUCACGGAGAAGAAAGGGCUGUAGGGAACCAGAUAAAUUCUGCUACUUCUAUGGAUGUUUCACUUUAUCACCUCAGAGACGGAAUAUUACUCCCUUCAUUAAGAGUGUGUAUCUUACUUAUUUUAAAAUGCCGCUUGGUAUAAAAAAAUGGACACUUCACAUAGUAUGCACGACUUGUCUCGAAACUGGCAGAUCACAGUCUCAAGGGAAAAAUGUAAAGCUCAAAUUUUGUGUGCUGAUGAUUUCGACAGAGCCAACAAACCAAGUAGAUGAUUACUACUUCUACAUUGUAAAUGUUUAAGGAUUUAAUAAAAAGAACAAGCGAUAAAUGACAUACCCUACCCUCUCCUCUGCAAUACGGCCAGUUCCUCAUUCCGACGAAAUAGUUGUACCUGUUUUCACCAAGUUAGUAUAUAUUGAUGAAGAAGCACAUCCUUCAGUCAAUGACGAUGAGGAGGAAGAUGCAGAUGCAAAUUACAUACCAUUGGGUUCAUUGAUUGGUCAACCUUCUCUGUAUAGGCAACCUAAAUUGAAUGAACUGAUCUGAGAUUUAAAUUUAUCUAAGCAAGAGCAAAAAUGCUCAGGGCACAAGUAUCACAUUUUACCAUAAGAACUGAGGAAGGUCUUUGAUUCCAACAAUCACUUUGUAUACUGCAGUGGCAUUGAAGGGCUUCUUGUGGCUAUGAGAUUACCUAUGUAUCAUUUUAGUGUGGGGAUACUCUUUAUUGAUAGCUCAAAAAUAAGUUUAAAGUGUCUUUUACUUAACAAUGGUGACAUAAAUGGACGUAUCCCUAUUGGAUAGAGUAUGGAUACAUCAUAAUAGUACUUGAACGAUUAAAAUGCCACAAUUACCAGUGGUUAAUCUGUGUGGAUUUAAAAAAAGGUAAGCUUCCUCAUUGAAAUCAGUAGCCAAUCUCCAAAUAAAACCACUUAAAACAAAAAUAACGUAUUAUUUUGGGAUUUUUGGGAUGUGUUGUUGUAUUUUUCCAUCACUCCGUUGUUCAAAACUUGAUGGAAAGGAUUAAGAUCUUCGUAUUCUUAAAUUUAUGAAAUGUAACAAAAUGAAACAAAUUAUUGAGAAUAAUUAUAAAAUUAAGUUUUACUGAAGAUAAAUUUCUGCUGUAGUAGCACAUAUACCACUAUUUAUAGUCGUGUUCUUUGCGGUAUGUACGUAUAGUUUUGUAAUGUAUACAUAUCUGUACUAUUUUAUAAUGCAUGUAUGUAUUAUGAUAAACAGCUAUAAAUUCUAAACUAACUUUACUUUACCAUGAGUUAUGCAAUGGUUAAUUACUAUAUCAUAAAAUUGUUAAAUAUUAUAAUAUUUAGUUCCUCUUAAUUGCAAAAUUGAUGUUGCCAAGAAUUGGAUUCAAUAUUAUGAAGUAACCCAAAAAGCACUUCCAUUGCCAUCGUUGAGACCAUCAAAAUUAUAAACAUGUUAAUGAAAUUUACAUUAAUGUCACAUAUUUAUCUGAGUUUCAUAUAAACACAAAUGAAAUUGUUUACUGUAUUAGUUAAAAAUAGAUCUUUAUUUUAUAUUAAUUUGAUAGCAACGUUCUUGGCUCAGAUUUCAAAGGCGAAAGACUGAAGGUUUUCAUUACCGACGGAGGUCAUAUUGUAUUGAACCCAUCGAAAACCUUAAGCAACAUUUUCCAAUGAUGUUGCAUGUCACUUAUCUAGCUCAUGGUCUAAACAGUAUAGCAACGCUCUGUCCUGAUUAUUUCGAAAAUACAAAGAUUCUCAUCUCUGAAAUGAAGAAAGCAUUUUUUUAAUUCAGGUGAUAGGAAACGUAAUAUUACUGCUUUAAUCCAAGUUACACUCCCACCAGCACCUAUCCUCAUCGCGUAAAGGAUCUUGGCUUAAAGCAAUGGAAUACUAUAUUCAGCACUUCAAUUCAUUCAAUCAGAAUAUAAUGGUAGGGAUGAAAAUAAUGAUGCAAUAAAAAAGUAAAAGAUGCUUUGAAGGAUGAGUUACUUUUGUAACAAAUAAUGUUUAUUAAAGAAUAUUUGAAUUCAAUACAAGUAGCCAUUAGAGGAUUGGAAAAGAGAUUUCUGCUACUCACAAGUGUAACUAUUGUUGAAAAUCUAUGCUUAGAUAUGACACUUGAACCUUUCAAAACUAAAUGUCUCGAGGUGAUAGAGAAAAACAAAGGAUACGUCGUACUAACAGAAUUGAGAACUGAAACCCUCAAUCAUUAUAGGAGUGUUUUUAAUAUACAAAAACACUCCUUUUAAUAAAUAUAAUUCAGAGAGAGUUUUCAGUGUGAUGACGGGCACAAAUGUAUAGAAAAAGUUCUGUUUGAUGAAGGGUCACGUCAAGGAUAAUAUGAUAAUAAAAUCGAACAUUGAUUUAUGAAGAUAGUUAAAUGAUAACAUAAAUCAUAUGAAAUAUUAUUAUUAUUAUUUUCUUAGUUUUUAUUUAUUUAUUUUUCUUAUCCUUUUAAGUUGUUAAUUUUCAUAUUGGAACCGUUAUAAAAUUAUGGAUGAAGCUAUAGCAGAGCUUAUGGAGUCAUUCAAUCAUCUUCAUAGUAAAUGCGAAUGUUCCAUUUUAUUAUCAUAUUCUUGACGUGAGCCUUCGACAAACGGGAUUUUUGUGGUAUAUUUAUGUACGACGUCAUGCUGAAACCCUUAUCGGAAUCAAAUUUAACAAUGGAAGUGUUUUGUGUUUUAAAAACUUGAUAUUGUGAUUGAUUGUUUUUGGUGCAAAUUCCCUAUAUUUGAUGUAUCUCUAUCAUCUACAUACAUUAAUUUUGAAAGGUUCAAGCGUAACAUCUGGGCAUAGUUUUUUUACAAUAGUUACAUUUGGGAGUAGCUCUAAUUUCUCUUUCAAAGUUUCAUUGGUUACCUGGAUUGGAUUUAAAUUGUGUUAAAUAAACAUUAUCUCUGCCGAAAGUGAAUCAUUCUUCAAAACAUAUUUUGUUUUUUAAUUGCAUCAUUGUUUCCAUACAUAACCUUAAUAUACUCAUUAACUAAAUUGAA
rnacentral:lncRNA from 1 species